UCAGAGAUGCAAAUGUCCCAACAGGGCC
rnacentral:piRNA from 1 species